GUCACUUUGCCGGAGUGGUUAACGGGAUCGCCUGCUAACAGCACUAGCGGUUGGGCUUUGCCCGCGUGUGUUCGAAUCGCACAGGUGACG